rnacentral:rRNA from 1 species
UACGUAGGGGGCAAGCGUUAUCCGGAUUUACUGGGUGUAAAGGGAGCGUAGACGGUUAGGUAAGUCAGAUGUGAAAGCCCAGGGCUCAACCCUGGGACUGCAUUUGAAACUAUGUAACUGGAGUGCAGGAGAGGUAAGUGGAAUUCCUAGUGUAGCGGUGAAAUGCGUAGAUAUUAGGAGUAACACCAGUGGCGAAGGCGGCUUACUGGACUGUAACUGACGUUGAGGCUCGAAAGCGUGGGGAGCAAACAGG